GCGGGUGUAGUUCAAUGGUAGAACAUCAGCUUCCCAAGCUGCGAAUGAGGGUUCGAUUCCCUUCACCCGCUCCA
rnacentral:tRNA from 1 species